UACGAAGGGGACUAGCGUUGCUCGGAAUCACUGGGCGUAAAGCGCACGUAGGCGGAUUUUUAAGUCAGGGGUGAAAUCCUGGAGCUCAACUCCAGAACUGCCUUUGAUACUGGGAAUCUCGAGUCCGGGAGAGGUGAGUGGAACUGCGAGUGUAGAGGUGAAAUUCGUAGAUAUUCGCAAGAACACCAGUGGCGAAGGCGGCUCACUGGCCCGGUACUGACGCUGAGGUGCGAAAGCGUGGGGAGCAAACAGG
rnacentral:rRNA from 1 species